rnacentral:rRNA from 1 species
AGAGUUUGAUUAUGGCUCAGAUUGAACGCUGGCGGCAGGCCUAACACAUGCAAGUCGAGCGGUAGCACAGGGAGCUUGCUCCUGGGUGACGAGCGGCGGACGGGUGAGUAAUGUCUGGGAAACUGCCUGAUGGAGGGGGAUAACUACUGGAAACGGUAGCUAAUACCGCAUAACGUCGCAAGACCAAAGAGGGGGACCUUCGGGCCUCUUGCCAUCAGAUGUGCCCAGAUGGGAUUAGCUAGUAGGUGGGGUAAUGGCUCACCUAGGCGACGAUCCCUAGCUGGUCUGAGAGGAUGACCAGCCACACUGGAACUGAGACACGGUCCAGACUCCUACGGGAGGCAGCAGUGGGGAAUAUUGCACAAUGGGCGCAAGCCUGAUGCAGCCAUGCCGCGUGUAUGAAGAAGGCCUUCGGGUUGUAAAGUACUUUCAGCGAGGAGGAAGGCGUUGUGGUUAAUAACCACAGCGAUUGACGUUACUCGCAGAAGAAGCACCGGCUAACUCCGUGCCAGCAGCCGCGGUAA